rnacentral:lncRNA from 1 species
GUUUACUCCCUAGAUCAUGUGAAGAAGUUAUCAAUUACUUGUAGAAAACAAAAAAAAAAACUUGUAGCAAAGGUCCCUGGCUUAGGGACAUAUUGCAUGAAAACACAUUGUCUUCUUCUAUAUUAUAGAUGUAUGUAAAUCAAAACUAUAUAUCAGAAAAUUCACACAGACGUUAUGUAGUUUGAAAAUGUCUGGAAAUCUAUAAUUUGUGAAUGCUUUCAAAUGCUUAUAUGUGACGUCGUCUUUGAAAACCGGUCCAGAUGCGGCAUGAUGUAAUAUCGAGAAACGACGUUUAAAGUUGCCCCAAGUUUACACGUGCAGCUUUCUUACACAUGUUUUAAUUAGCGAAAGUUUGACUGUUAAAGUAUGACUGCUUGUUACAUGAUUGAUAACAGCCUACUAGAGAAAGAAUAUUUAGACAUCAGACCUGUAAAAAAACAGUGGUAUUACGCCUGAGACAAAAUAUUUCGUUCAAAUCAGUUGUUUCCUCUUCACUACUGUAUGUUUCCGGUUUCGGAUUUUAUCAGGGAAGCAUGUGAAGUUUAAAUUUGUUUAACUUCCUUUUGUUCAACGGUGAAGGGAUCUGAGACUUGUAAUACUGUUUACUGAUUUGAUAAUAUUCCUUGUUCCUUUGAUGGUUCAUUCCACUACAGCUGGUUCAUAUACCCUACAACAGCCAGGAAAUUGUUCUGUUUACUUUAAGAUCUGAAGAAAAUGUUACAUAUUUUGGAUGUACUUUGAGGAAUAAGGAAGACAAGUGUUUCCUCUUGUUUAUGAAAGCAGCUCAGUUGGUUAAGGGGCAGACA